rnacentral:ribozyme from 16 species
ACUGAAAUUGGAAAAUAAAUCAAAACAGUGUAGUCAUUGUAGCCAGUAAUGAGUAAUCAAAACCUUUUUCUUUUUCUUUUUUUUUGUUUCC